CACUGAGCAGACUGGAUUCAAGCGGCUAUAGGUGGAGAGUUGAUGAUGGAAUUCUAAAGGUCAUACACGGCAGUAGAGUUCUAAUGAAGGGAAGAAAGUAUGGAGGACACUACCUUUUGGUAAAAUGCUCGGUGCAAAGUGGCGCUUUAGGAGCAAGUGGGAGCUUAGUGUGAUGUGGAGCUCUAGGAGCAAGUGGAUCGAGCAUGAGAUGAGAGACUCAGUUGGAGAUCGGAUGCCAACCCGUAUCCACUCGUGCCCUCCACUCAAUUUCUUAUGCCCAUCUCAUGCUGAUCCAAC
rnacentral:lncRNA from 1 species